rnacentral:ncRNA from 1 species
UUUAUUAAGAGUUUGAUCCUGGCUCAGGAUGAACGCUGGCGGCGUGCUUAACACAUGCAAGUCGAGCGAACAAAGCGAUGUAAAGCCUUCGGGUGGAUCAUCGCGGCGUGAGCGGCGGACGGGUGAGUAACACGUGGGUAACCUGCCCUGUACACUGGGAUAACGCACCGAAAGGUGUGCUAAUACCGGAUAAAGUGAACCUUUCGCAUGGAAGGAUCACCAAAGCUCCGGCGGUACAGGAUGGACCCGCGUCCCAUUAGCUAGUUGGUGAGGUAACGGCUCACCAAGGCGACGAUGGGUAGCCGACCUGAGAGGGUGAUCGGCCACACUGGAACUGAGACACGGUCCAGACUCCUACGGGAGGCAGCAGUGGGGAAUAUUGCACAAUGGGCGAAAGCCUGAUGCAGCAACGCCGCGUGAGCGAUGAAGGCCUUCGGGUCGUAAAGCUCUGUCCUAAGGGAAGAUAAUGACGGUACCUUAGGAGGAAGCCCCGGCUAACUACGUGCCAGCAGCCGCGGUAAUACGUAGGGGGCAAGCGUUAUCCGGAAUCACUGGGCGUAAAGGGUGCGUAGGCGGCUGAUAAAGUCCGAGGUGAAAGGCUACGGCUUAACCGUAGUAAGCCUUGGAAACUUAUCAGCUUGAGUACAGGAGAGGAAAGUGGAAUUCCUAGUGUAGCGGUGAAAUGCGUAGAUAUUAGGAGGAACACCAGUGGCGAAGGCGACUUUCUGGACUGUUACUGACGCUGAGGCACGAAAGCGUGGGGAGCGAACAGGAUUAGAUACCCUGGUAGUCCACGCCGUAAACGAUGAGUGCUAGGUGUCGGGGGUCGAACCUCGGUGCCGCAGCUAACGCAUUAAGCACUCC